CCCUUAGAUGUUCUGGGCUGCACGCGUGCUACACUGAUAUUGCCAAUAUGUCAUUCUUAUCCGAAAUGGUUUGGGUAAUCAAGUAAUGAAAUUUCAUGCUUGGAAUCGGUAAUUGCAAUUUUAUCGUGAACGAGGAAUUCCUAGUAAGCACUAGUCAUCAGCUAAUGUUGAUUAUGUCCCUGCCCUUUGUACACACCGCCCGUCGCUACUACUGAUUGGGUGUUCAAGUGAGAUGCUUAGACCCUUGUUGCAUGGUUCAUUAUUGUGCUCCGAAAGGAAAAAGUUUCAAGCUUGAGUGUCUAGAGGAAGUAAAAGUCGUAACA
rnacentral:rRNA from 1 species